GACGAACGCUGGCGGCGUGCCUAAUACAUGCAAGUUGAGCGCUGAAGGUUGGUACUUGUACCAACUGGAUGAGCAGCGAACGGGUGAGUAACGCGUGGGGAAUCUGCCUUUGAGCGGGGGACAACAUUUGGAAACGAAUGCUAAUACCGCAUAAAAACUUUAAACACAAGUUUUAAGUUUGAAAGAUGCAAUUGCAUCACUCAAAGAUGAUCCCGCGUUGUAUUAGCUAGUUGGUGAGGUAAAGGCUCACCAAGGCGAUGAUACAUAGCCGACCUGAGAGGGUGAUCGGCCACAUUGGGACUGAGACACGGCCCAAACUCCUACGGGAGGCAGCAGUAGGGAAUCUUCGGCAAUGGACGGAAGUCUGACCGAGCAACGCCGCGUGAGUGAAGAAGGUUUCCGGAUCGUAAAACUCUGUUGGUAGAGAAGAACGUUGGUGAGAGUGGAAAGCUCAUCAAGUGACGGUAACUACCCAGAAAGGGACGGCUAACUACGUG
rnacentral:rRNA from 1 species